rnacentral:rRNA from 1 species
GACAGAGGGGGCAAGCGUUGCUCGGAAUCAUUGGGCGUAAAGGGCGCGUAGGUGGCCCGGUCAGUUCGUGGUGAAAGCGCGGGGCUCAACCCUGCGUCGGCCAUGAAUACUGCCGCGGCUGGAGCACUGUAGAGGCAGGCGGAAUUCCGGGUGUAGCGGUGGAAUGCGUAGAGAUCCGGAAGAACACCGGUGGCGAAGGCGGCCUGCUGGGCAGUUGCUGACACUGAGGCGCGACAGCGUGGGGAGCAAACAGG